AUGUUGCCGAUGUGGAAGAUGAGGAUGAUGUGCCGAGCUACCACCAGCGGAAAUAGAGACGAUGCGUCUGGCUUGCACGCUUGUGAAAGAAAACAUCGCCAGCAACCUCAUACUACGGCAGACGAAAUCAACGGCCAAAGCAACUACGAGCCAGAUGAAACGGACGAGGAAGCAAACCAGCAACCAUCCAUGGUCAACGUGUGGCAUAACCACCUGCGGGGGUGGCUCCAGGUGAGGGCGACCAACCUCAAUGCAGCGAAUCAAGAAAAGAAGCUGAUUGGAGCUAUCCGGGAGCAGCAAUUUUUGAGUGAGAAGAAAGAUUUAGAAACAGAGAAAGGGGAUCAGGGGAGACGAACAUUCUGA
rnacentral:rRNA from 1 species